AGUGAACGCUGGCGGCAGGCCUAACACAUGCAAGUCGAACGGCAGCACAAGAGAGCUUGCUCUCUGGGUGGCGAGUGGCGGACGGGUGAGGAAUGCAUCGGAAUCUGCCCAUUUGUGGGGGAUAACCUCGGGAAACCGGGACUAAUACCGCAUACGACCUACGGGUGAAAGCAGGGGAUCUUCGGACCGUGCGCAGAUGGAUGAGCCGAUGCCGGCGUAGCUAGUUGGAGGGGUAAAGGCCCACCAAGGCGGAGAUCCGUAGCUGGUCUGAGAGGGUGGUGGGCCACACUGGGACUGGGACACGGCCCAGACUCCUACGGGAGGCAGCAGUGGGGAAUAGUGGACAAUGGGGGGAAGCCUGAUCCAGCCAUGCCGCGUGUGUGAAGAAGGCCUUCGGGUUGUAAAGCACUUUUGUUGGGAAAGAAAAGCAGCCGGUUAAUACGCGGUUGUCAUGACGGUACCCAAAGAAUAAGCACCGGCUAACUUCGUG
rnacentral:rRNA from 1 species